rnacentral:lncRNA from 1 species
GAAAGCUGUUUUCAUACUAUCACCAAUUCAUGUUUGGAUCAUUUUUAACUGUUCCAGUACAUACUGGUUCCUCUACUAAAAUGCAACAUUUAUUCACCCAGUAUAUGCUGCAACACCCACUAAUAGUAUAGAGCUCAAUGGGGAAUGAAAAGAUGCUUCUGAAAGUGCAAACACUUUUGAAUCAGCAAGAAUAAGAGAAGGGAAAAAAAAAACAAAGAGAAGAUGAUAAAAGUAGAGGAUGAAUGGGGCAUCCAUGUUCCUCUGAACUUGUGCUUCCAGUCUUCCCACUCACAUACGAGCCUGGAUUCAAGGAAAGAAGAAAGGGAAAGAGAGAGAGAGAAAAAGAACACACAAGGGCAAAUCUCAAGCUGAAAUGGAGCAAAAAGGAAUUAUUUCUGUUAACCUCUUAUAAAUGGUGGUCUGUUUGUGUAUGUUUUUCUUUCUUUUUUCCUUUCUACAAAGGAUCAACCUGCAGGCUUAAAGCAGCACAGAAAAUGUAUCAGAUUAAUAAAUAUAGAUUAGAUUUUCAAAUUCCCAUGAGCAAGACAUGCUUUUUUGUUUGUUAUUUCUUUCUAAAUUAA